GAGCUAUUCUUACUUUUUGCCUUUUACAGAAGACAUCGCUGAGGCGCAGUGACACGCCGUGGUAAGGUGUAAACUCAGGCCAGCACAGAGGCCAGGGGCAAACCCCCCAGGAUGCCUGGUGAGUUCGGGAAGGAGUGAGAACCUGAGACAAGGAAGGAAGAGCCAGAAGGAGGUGCUUCUUAGCAGCCCAUGGCAACACCUGUGACAGUUCCCAGCCAAUGAAUCACCAGGCAAGUAGAGGAUUCAAAUGCACUUAUGGGGUUCAGCUUGCUCUUUUGUGCCUCUAACAUUACGAUGAGAAGGAAUACUCCCAGGCCCCCAAUUGGACACAUGUGGAGCACACCUAGGCCCUGAGUUGAAGAGCCAACCCGGAUUAGC